GGCCUACGGGGGGCUGCAGUAAGGAAUAUUGGUCAAUGGACGAAAGUCUGAACCAGCCAUGCCGCGUGGAGGAUGAAGGUCCUCUGGAUUGUAAACUUCUUUUAUAUGGGACGAAAAAAGGGUUUUCUAACUCGUCUGACGGUACCAUAUGAAUAAGCACCGGCUAACUCCGUGCCAGCAGCCGCGGUAAUACGGAGGGUGCAAGCGUUAUCCGGAUUCACUGGGUUUAAAGGGUGCGUAGGUGGGUUGGUAAGUCAGUGGUGAAAUCCCCGAGCUUAACUUGGGAACUGCCAUUGAUACUAUCAGUCUUGAAUACCGUGGAGGUCAGCGGAAUAUGUCAUGUAGCGGUGAAAUGCUUAGAUAUGACAUAGAACACCAAUUGCGAAGGCAGCUGGCUACCCGAAUAUUGACACUGAGGCACGAAAGCGUGGGGAUCAAACAGGAUUAGAUACCCUGGUAGUC
rnacentral:rRNA from 1 species